rnacentral:rRNA from 1 species
UUGGAGGGCAAGUCUGGUGCCAGCAGCCGCGGUAAUUCCAGCUCCAAUAGCGUAUAUUAAAGUUGUUGCAGUUAAAAAGCUCGUAGUUGAAUUUCGGAAUCAAAUAAUCGGGUGAAUCAACAGGUUCGUACUGAUUUUAAGAGUUUCUCCCUUCUGGAGAACCAUAAUAUCAUUUAUUUGAUGUUGUGGGGAACCAGGACUGUUACCUUGAAAAAAUUAGAGUGUUUAAAGCAGGCUAACGCUUGAAUACAUCAGCAUGGAAUAAUGAAAUAGGACGUUCGACCCUAUUUUGUUGGUUUCUAGGAUCGACGUAAUGAUUAAUAGGGAUAGUUGGGGGCAUUAGUAUUCAAUUGUCAGAGGUGAAAUUCUUGGAUUUAUUGAAGACUAACUACCGCGAAAGCAUUUGCCAAGGAUGUUUUCAUUAAUCAAGAACGAAAGUUAGGGGAUCGAAGACGAUCAGAUACCGUCGUAGUCUUAACCAUAAACUAUGCCGACUAGGGAUCGGAUGAUGUUAAUUUUUUAAUGACUCAUUCGGCGCCUUACGGGAAAC